UACAGAGGGGGCAAGCGUUGUUCGGAAUUACUGGGCGUAAAGGGCGAGUAGGUGGCCAUCUAAGUCAGACGUGAAAUCCCCCGGCUUAACCUGGGAACUGCGUCUGAUACUGGACGGCUUGAGUAUGGGAGAGGAACGUAGAAUUCCAGGUGUAGCGGUGAAAUGCGUAGAGAUGUGGAGGAACACCAGUGGCGAAGGCGACUCUUUGGUCUGUAACUGACGCUGAGGCGCGAAAGCGUGGGGAGCAAACAGG
rnacentral:rRNA from 1 species